GGGGUUGUGGUUCAGUGGUAGAACACUCCCCUAGCAAGUGGGAGGCCCUGGGUUCGAUCCUCAGCACCACA
rnacentral:tRNA from 1 species